AAUCUACCAAACAGCAAUAACUGGAGAGCAUCCAAUUAAACAUGGCCGGCUUCCAGUAUGUCGGUAAUGAAGAGAGGAAUGUUUGCAUGGCCUCCCAU